CUUGACUAUAAUAAGAGGUCCAGCCUGCCCAGUGAAUUUUAAACGGCCGCGGUAUCCUAACCGCGCGAAGGUAGCAUAAUCACUUGUUCUUUAAAUGGGGACUCGUAUCAACGGCAUCACGAGGGUUUUACUGUCUCCUCUUUUUGAUCAGUGAAAUUGAUCUUCCCGUGAAGAAGCGGGAAUAUUUAUAUAAGACGAGAAGACCCCAUGGAGCUUCAAACCAAAUAACAACUUAACCACUCAACCCAUAAUAAAUUUAAGCCAUGUUAUAAGGUUUUGGGUUGGGGUGACCGCGGAGUAAAGCACAUCCUCCACGACGGAAAGAACACAAUCUUUAUUUAAGAACUACAAUUCUAGAAAUUAGUAUACUAACGUUUACUGACCCGAUAAUCGAUCAACGGACCA
rnacentral:rRNA from 1 species